rnacentral:rRNA from 1 species
UGGGGAAUAUUGCACAAUGGGCGAAAGCCUGAUGCAGCAACGCCGCGUGAGUGAUGAAGGCCUUCGGGUUGUAAAGCUCUGUCUUUUGGGACGAUAAUGACGGUACCAAAGGAGGAAGCCACGGCUAACUACGUGCCAGCAGCCGCGGUAAUACGUAGGUGGCAAGCGUUGUCCGGAUUUACUGGGCGUAAAGGAUGCGUAGGCGGAUUUUUAAGUGAGAUGUGAAAUACCGGGCUUAACUUGGGUGCUGCAUUUCAAACUGGGAAUCUAGAGUGCGGGAGAGGAGAAUGGAAUUCCUAGUGUAGCGGUGAAAUGCGUAGAGAUUAGGAAGAACACCGGUGGCGAGGCGAUUCUCUGGACCGUAACUGACGCUGAGGCAUGAAAGCGUGGGUAGCAAACAGGAUUAGAUACCCUGGUAGUCCACGCCGUAAACGAUGAGUACUAGGUGUAGGAGGUAUCGACCCCUUCUGUGCCGCAGUUAACACAAUAAGUACUCCGCCUGGGAAGUACGAUCGCAAGAUU